GACGAACGCUGGCGGCGUGCCUAAUACAUGCAAGUCGAGCGGACUUUCAAGAAGCUUGCUUUUUGAAAGUUAGCGGCGGACGGGUGAGUAACACGUGGGCCACCUGCCUGUAAGACGGGGAUAACUCCGGGAAACCGGGGCUAAUACCGGAUAAUAUCUUUCUUCGCAUGAAGGAAGGUUGAAAGGCGGCGCAAGCUGCCGCUUGCAGAUGGGCCCGCGGCGCAUUAGCUAGUUGGUGAGGUAACGGCCAACCAAGGCGACGAUGCGUAGCGGACCUGAGAGGGUGAUCGGCCACACUGGGACUGAGACACGGCCCAGACUCCUACGGGAGGCAGCAGUAGGGAAUCUUCCGCAAUGGACGAAAGUCUGACGGAGCAACGCCGCGUGAGCGAAGAAGGUCUUCGGAUCGUAAAGCUCUGUUGUCAGGGAAGAACAAGUACCGUUCGAAUAGGGCGGUACCUUGACGGUACCUGACCAGAAAGCCACGGCUAACUACGUGCCAGCCGCCGCAGUAA
rnacentral:rRNA from 1 species